AACCUUGUUUAAGUGACAGCGAGGAAGACCACUAUGUACUCUGUUUGCAGAAGAAGGAUUAAGCUUAUUGGCAAGCCACCAGAGCACGAUAUUCAUAGUCCCUUAUAAUAGCUGAUUCAUCAGCACUCAUUUUUGGUAUCAAUAUUAUCACACGAAUCUAAAAGUCUUAAUGAAGCCAGAACGCUGUCAACCUUAUGAACAUCUACAGUAGGACACGAAGCUGCAGCGAGAUUGCUUGGACCUAUUGAGCAUAUCAUGUCAAGGUUCUCAUUGGCACCUUGACUUUCCAGGAUCUUUUCAACAUCUGAAAUGCAGUGACUGGUAUGUGUUUCAUUUAAUGCAAGCAUUCCAGUAUGGUUGCUUGACUGUCCAAGGAGAACUACAAGGCUGGCCUCAUAUUAAGGACAACAAACCACAUUUGCAAGAUAUGGUGCUAGGGAAGACCAGCAAUCCGUUGCUAUCACACUUGAUAUACUUUCAGCUGAAAAAAAGUUCAACAUACAACAUCC